rnacentral:piRNA from 1 species
UGUAUCCAGUAAGGACAGAGGCGUGAU